GUAGGUGAAGUUAACGCACGUUUGCCUACGGAAGCUGAGCAGGUCGACUCUAAACAACUGCGCGAGUCUGCCCUUUGCUUGGGGCGGGCGACGCCGUCAAUCUGGGCUGGAAGAUCCUUCGGGCGCAACCAGCAGCUCCUCGGAGUCCACAGAUCAAACGACGGCGGCCACCUCCCCGUGGUUCAGAUAUGACCGGCCCCAGCUGUCAUCGGCUGGCGACGACAUUGCGGAACCUGCGGAAGGAUCAUUAUUGAGAGGGGUCCCCGGACUCCGGGGGCUUCGGCCCCCUCCUCUAUACCCUAUGACUACACACCUUGUUGCUUUGGCGGGCCUCGGGAUCGCCCCGUACCGGCCGCGGGCUUCUCGCCCCGGCCGUCCGUGCCCGUCAGAGGCCCAUGAACCUUCGUUUAUCAGCGUCGUCCGAGUCCAAUCAAAUCGUAAAAAACUUUCAACAACGGAUCUCUUGGUUCUG
rnacentral:misc_RNA from 1 species